CCUACGAGGCUGCAGUGGGGAAUAUUGGACAAUGGGCGAAAGCCUGAUCCAGCCAUGCCGCGUGUGUGAAGAAGGCCUUCGGGUUGUAAAGCACUUUCAGUGGGGAAGAAAGCCUUGGGGCUAAUACCCUCGAGGAAGGACAUCACCCACAGAAGAAGCACCGGCUAACUCCGUGCCAGCAGCCGCGGUAAUACGGAGGGUGCGAGCGUUAAUCGGAAUUACUGGGCGUAAAGCGCGCGUAGGCGGUCUGAUAAGCCGGUUGUGAAAGCCCCGGGCUCAACCUGGGAACGGCAUCCGGAACUGUCAGGCUAGAGUGCAGGAGAGGAAGGUAGAAUUCCCGGUGUAGCGGUGAAAUGCGUAGAGAUCGGGAGGAAUACCAGUGGCGAAGGCGGCCUUCUGGACUGACACUGACGCUGAGGUGCGAAAGCGUGGGUAGCAAACAGGAUUAGAUACCCCUGUAGUC
rnacentral:rRNA from 1 species